GACGAACGCUGGCGGCGUGCUUAACACAUGCAAGUCGAACGGAAAGGCCUGCAGCUUGCUGCGGGUACUCGAGUGGCGCACGGGUGAGUAACACGUGGGUGAUCUGCCUUGCACUUCGGGAUAAGCUUGGGAAACUGGGUCUAAUACCGGAUAGGACAGCUGUUUAGUGUCAGUUGUGGAAAGUUUUUUCGGUGCAAGAUGAGCUCGCGGCCUAUCAGCUUGUUGGUGGGGUAAUGGCCUACCAAGGCGUCGACGGGUAGCCGGCCUGAGAGGGUGUACGGCCACAUUGGGACUGAGAUACGGCCCAGACUCCUACGGGAGGCAGCAGUGGGGAAUAUUGCACAAUGGGCGGAAGCCUGAUGCAGCGACGCCGCGUGGGGGAUGAAGGCCUUCGGGUUGUAAACUCCUUUCGACAGGGACGAAGCUUUUGUGACGGUACCUGUAGAAGAAGCACCGGCUAACUACGUG
rnacentral:rRNA from 1 species